UACGUAGGGACCAAGCGUUGUCCGGAAUCAUUGGGCGUAAAGAGCGUGUAGGCGGCUUGUUAAGUCUUGCGUGAAAUCUCGGGGCUCAACCCCGAGCGGUCGUGAGAAACUGGCAGGCUAGAGUGCGGGAGAGGAGAGUGGAAUUCCUGGUGUAGCGGUGAAAUGCGCAGAUAUCAGGAAGAACACCCGUGGCGAAGGCGGCUCUCUGGAACGCAACUGACACUCAGGGACGAAAGCUAGGGGAGCGAAUGGG
rnacentral:rRNA from 1 species